rnacentral:rRNA from 1 species
UGGGGAAUAUUGGACAAUGGGGGGAACCCUGAUCCAGCGACGCCGCGUGAGUGAAGAAGUAUUUCGGUAUGUAAAGCUCUAUCAGCAGGGAAGAAAAGAAAUGACGGUACCUGACUAAGAAGCCCCGGCUAACUACGUGCC